rnacentral:rRNA from 1 species
AGUGAACGCUGGCGGUAGGCCUAACACAUGCAAGUCGAACGGCAGCACAGUAAGAGCUUGCUCUUACGGGUGGCGAGUGGCGGACGGGUGAGGAAUACAUCGGAAUCUACUUUUUCGUGGGGGAUAACGUAGGGACACUUACGCUAAUACCGCAUACGACCUACGGGUGAAAGCAGGGGAUCUUCGGACCUUGCGCGAUUGAAUGAGCCGAUGUCGGAUUAGCUAGUUGGCGGGGUAAAGGCCCACCAAGGCGACGAUCCGUAGCUGGUCUGAGAGGAUGAUCAGCCACACUGGAACUGAGACACGGUCCAGACUCCUACGGGAGGCAGCAGUGGGGAAUAUUGGACAAUGGGCGCAAGCCUGAUCCAGCCACACCGCGUGGGUGAAGAAGGCCUUCGGGUUGUAAAGCCCUUUUGUUGGGAAAGAAAAGCAGCAGGUUAAUACCCCGCUGUUCUGACGGUACCCAAAGAAUAAGCACCGGCUAACUUCGUG